CAGCAGCCACGGUAAUACGUAGGGUGCAAGCGUUAAUCGGAAUUACUGGGCGUAAAGCGUGCGCAGGCGGUCCGCUAAGACAGAUGUGAAAUCCCCGGGCUUAACCUGGGAACUGCAUUUGUGACUGGCGGGCUAGAGUAUGGCAGAGGGGGGUAGAAUUCCACGUGUAGCAGUGAAAUGCGUAGAGAUGUGGAGGAAUACCGAUGGCGAAGGCAGCCCCCUGGGCCAAUACUGACGCUCAUGCACGAAAGCGUGGGGAGCAAACAGGAUUAGAUACCCCUGUAGUCCCUGUCUCUUAUAC
rnacentral:rRNA from 1 species